rnacentral:lncRNA from 1 species
AUGCCAAAGGGGAGAGGAACAGGCUCAAGUCCUCAUUCAUCUCAUUUUAACCCAUGCUUGUUCGCUCCCUGGACUGGCCUCAUGGACCCCUACAGAAGCCUGCAGGGGCAUCUCUUGGACAGAGCCUCAGCACCAGGUAGCCACCAGCACGCAGAGGAGGCAUCGGGGGAUGAUGAGGGAUCAUCCUCAUCCCAUUCUAGUUUGCAGAGCUGGAUCUGUGCUCAAAAAACCCAGCCUCAAGCACUCCUGCCUGGCCCCAGCAGGUACUUACUGUCACAGGCUCCUCUGCCUCGGCCACCAGCCGAUUACGAGGUGACACCGCUUUGCCCUGGAAACCAUCGGGACUUCUGGAGGACUCCAUGGAGCAAUGGAGCUUGCUGGCAGCCAUGUCUUGGGCCACCUGCAAGAAGCAGCAAGGGGAUUUUAAAAUCCAGACAACUUGGAAGGUGUCAGUGCUGCCAGGCAAGAACCACAAGAACCACAUUAAGGCUGUGGCUGGAUCACGGAGCAGAGCGCAGGGCAACACGGAGCCAGGACAGGAGCAUUUCACAUCCACCUGGCACAGGAGGAAGCAACGCAGCAAUACAAAGUGCCCCUUGGAGACCUGAAGCCUCCAGAUCCGAUUCUCUGGUGGAGCUGGGAACUGUCCUAACUCUCACGGGGCAACGAGGAGAUAUGACCUCUCCUACCCAGAAAAGAGCACGAGGAUCCCCAGCAGCAUCCACUCUCCUCUUAUCCAUGCUCAUGUCUGGAAAAAAGAGCCUCCCACUACCUCCUAAAAGGUUCCUACUGACUAAAAGCCACCUCCUUCCUGGCACGGGUAACCGACAAGCAUUCCCUCCCCUGGGUGCAGAUCCGGACAGUCCCACUCACAGAGCACCGCAGGAUGCACCCGUGUCCCCAGGCUGCAGCACCCUUCUUGAGCAGAAAGCUAACACCCCUGCCUGCUUUGUGAAGCACAGUGAAGAGGAAAACACUUCUGAGUUCUCAGCAGCUAUGCUCAUCCCCCCCCAGCAGCCAAAACCUCACCACUAA